rnacentral:rRNA from 2 species
UGGGGAAUAUUGCACAAUGGGCGCAAGCCUGAUGCAGCCAUGCCGCGUGUAUGAAGAAGGCCUUCGGGUUGUAAAGUACUUUCAGCGGGGAGGUAGGGAGUAAAGUUAAUACCUUUGCUCAUUGACGUUACCCGCAGAAGAAGCACCGGCUAACUCCGUGCCAGCAGCCGCGGUAAUACGGAGGGUGCAAGCGUUAAUCGGAAUUACUGGGCGUAAAGCGCACGCAGGCGGUUUGUUAAGUCAGAUGUGAAAUCCCCGGGCUCAACCUGGGAACUGCAUCUGAUACUGGCAAGCUUGAGUCUCGUAGAGGGGGGUAGAAUUCCAGGUGUAGCGGUGAAAUGCGUAGAGAUCUGGAGGAAUACCGGUGGCGAAGGCGGCCCCCUGGACGAAGACUGACGCUCAGGUGCGAAAGCGUGGGGAGCAAACAGG